GCGCGCGUGGUUUAGUGGUAUAAUUCUUGCUUAGGGAUUUAUCUAUCUUUGACUGAUUGAUUCUCCAUGUAAGAGGUCCCCGGUUCAAUCCCGGGCAACGCCCG
rnacentral:tRNA from 1 species